rnacentral:rRNA from 1 species
GACAGAGGCCUCGAGCGUUAGGCGGAAUCACUGGGCUUAAAGCGUGUGUAGGCGGAUCGUUAAGUACCUUGUGAAAUCCCACGGCUCAACCGUGGAACGGCUGGGUAUACUGGGCGGUCUUGGGCCAUUCAGGGGCGACUGGAACAAGCGGUGGAGCGGUGAAAUGCGUAGAUAUCGGAAGGAACAUCAGUGGCGAAAGCGACUUCCUGGACCAAUACUGACGCUCAUGUGCGAAAGCGU